rnacentral:rRNA from 1 species
UUUAGCCUACGGGGGGCAGCAGUGAGGAAUAUUGGUCAAUGGCCGGAAGGCUGAACCAGCCAAGCCGCGUGAAGGACGAAGGUGCCAAGCAUUGUAACCUUCUUUUGUCAAGGGACAAAAUCAGGCUCGAGAGCCUGACCGAGGGUACUUGAAGAAAAAGCAUCGGCUAACUCCGUGCCAGCAGCCGCGGUAAUACGUAUGGUGCAAGCGUUAUCCGGAUUUACUGGGUGUAAAGGGAGCGCAGGCGGUGCGGCAAGUCUGAUGUGAA